AUGGUGAUUAAAAACACUCAUCUGACUUGGUCGGAACAGAAUCUCCAAUAGCUACUUGAUUUGUUUAGCUACAGCUGAAAUAUUUUGAUAAGGAAAAAUGGGAAACAGCUCUACAAAUAAACAAAGCAUAGAGCCGGCGCCAGAACUACUUGCUGGAAACCAGCUCCCGUCAAAGAGUGUCCUAUCUGUUAUUUCUCAGCGUCGCAGAGCCUCGCAGUUGAGCUACAGAACGAGUCCCUUGGGUCCUUCCCCUCUAACCUUCUAAUCUUGCUGCUGAGCUGCUGCUGCUACUGUUCGUGCCCUUUGGAGAUCCCUACUCUCUGGGAUCAGUUGGCGUAUGUGCGGCUGCUGCCUGUGGGCCCCAUUCCAGCCUGGAAAACGGGAUGUGCCCUCUCCAAACUAACCAGGCCCAGAACCUCUGCCUCAGUCUGGCAUCUUCAGAGAUCGGCUGCCCUUUUGCCUUGCCUUAUCAGCCUUCACGUUGUUGCUGGAUCAGAAAUUUGGUGUCAUCAUUCACUGCCUCCAUGUGACAACAGCAGUUCCUCUUGCAGAACAACUCUAGGCUUCUCCGUAUCUCAGAUUCUGACUUAGCUGGUCUUAGGCCCUAGAUCUUUCUCUAUUCUAGUUCAAAGCAUUCCCUACCUUUGUUUCUAGCCCUAAGAGAAGCUACUUCACAGGUUGAUGGAGCCAGAACACCCAUUCUCUGCUGGGUAAACCUCCAUCCCUGCACAUCAGCAUGUGGUUUUAUCCUGUUGCUCAAAAGAUGCAACCACACAAUAGUUCAAGGUUGGCACAUGUUCCCUAGCCUGGGUCACUCACUCCCAUCCAGGGUUUCCUUGAUAAACUGGCAAUACAGGAAAAAGUUUGUAGGAAGAUUGUGUGUCUGUUUUGCUCUGGAUGAUGUUGAGAAGAUGUGACAUUCAAAUAGAUUUGAAUGGGAAACGAACUCAGAAGUGGGAGAGACACACACACACACACACAGAGGGAGAUUUCAGUGUGGAGGCAGUAGUGGAAGGGAUGGGGGUGGUGGGUGCUGGAGCUGGCUCUUACAGCCAGGAGGGCCAAUUUUUUACAUGAAUCCCCAGGUCCACAGUGAUUGGUAGCUUGUAAUCAGCAGGGAUGAGAGUUUUACACCGCAGAAAACACAACGUUUAUUGCACACUAUUGUAGAGGGUGGGAUCAUCCCUGGAGAGCCAAUAAAGUGAGAGAGGGAAAGGCCUGAGAAGGAGUG
rnacentral:lncRNA from 12 species